rnacentral:rRNA from 1 species
AACGAACGCUGGCGGCAGGCUUAACACAUGCAAGUCGAACGCCCCGCAAGGGGAGUGGCAGACGGGUGAGUAACGCGUGGGAACAUACCCUUUCCUGCGGAAUAGCUCUGGGAAACUGGAAUUAAUACCGCAUACGCCCUACGGGGGAAAGAUUUAUCGGGGAAGGAUUGGCCCGCGUUGGAUUAGCUAGUUGGUGGGGUAAUGGCCAACCAAGGCGACGAUCAGUAGCUGGUCUGAGAGGAUGAUCAGCCACAUUGGGACUGAGACACGGCCCAAACUCCUACGGGAGGCAGCAGUGGGGAAUAUUGGACAAUGGGCGCAAGCCUGAUCCAGCCAUGCCGCGUGAGUGAUGAAGGCCUUAGGGUUGUAAAGCUCUUUCGUCCGGGACGAUAAUGACGGUACCGGAAGAAGAAGCCCCGGCUAACUUCGUGCCAGCAGCCGCCGUAACAC